GUAGACACAGGCAGCUCUUUGUUUCAGACUUGAAAAUUCUGUUUUUCUUUUCACCUCAUUAGAAGGAAGUAUUUUUCCAUUUACUUCAUUUUCUUCUUGGAAUCUGCUAACGGUAGCUGAGUAGUUCAGUUUGCACACACGGUUUGUUCAUUAAUUAAUAGCCUCCAGGCAGGGUCACCUUUAUCAGGACUUAAUAUCUAACUAAAAUAAAAUGGUGCCAGAUUUGCUGGUCGGUUCUCCUGUGAUGAGAAAGGCUUUCCAAGGUGGUGGGAAGCCUUCUGCUGGGAGCUCUUGUGACGACUAGGGUUCUCCAAGGAGAGCAGCCUGAAACCAGAACAUCUUUCUAGAAUGCCAUUACUUGCAUUGUUGAAGUCAGAUAGAUGACUUGGGACCCUGGAACAUGGAAAAUAGAGUUCUUAAAGAAGGUUACUUCUUUCAAUGUAGCUAUUUUAUUUUCUUGUCAAGGCAUAGAAAUUAUUGGUUAGAUCCUUAUUACUUUUUCUUGGCUAUGGGUUAUAAUAGGCAGAAUUUUGGCUCAUGACUUUAACUCCUGUGUCAUUCCUGUAAUUAUAUAUUAUGCUAAUGGGCAAAAGAGACUUUGCAGAUGUAAUUAAGGUUACUAAUCAAUUGACCUUAUAAUGGAUUCUCUGAGUGGGUCCAAUAUAAUUACUUGAGCCCUUAAAGCAGAGCAUUUGCCUAGCUGAGGAGGGCAUGAGGGCAUGAGAAGAGUGCAUGCAUUAUUGUGAGAUCUGAUGCAGAGGGGCUGUGUGCCCAGAUCAGAGAGAAGCCAUGAUAGCAAGGAACUGGAUUCUGCCAGCAAUCUCAACAAAGUAGGAAUUGAAUUACAUCUCAGAGUCUCCAGAAAACACAGUGCAGCCAAUGCUUUGGUCUGGGCCCUGUGAGACUAUAAGUAGAGAGCCCAGAUGAGCAACACUGCAUUUAGACUUCUGUCUUCGAGAAACUGUAAGACAAAGAAGAUGGAGGAGAAGCAGAGGUUUGGGGGAGGAGACAAAGAAUGGGAACUCCGAGGUGGAUCCUUUCAUAUUUUGGGAUGAGAGGAAGGGAGCCGGAGAGAUACUGAUCUUCAGGUCUCUGGAUGGUUCCACACACUCCCAUGGCUGCGCAUUUAACAUGGCUUGCAGAACUCACCCAUUUUUCCAGGUCUGACCUACACGAGUGUCCAGUUAUUAGCAUUGAAGUGUCUUAUUUGCCUGUGGGGGGAUAGGGCUGGCGCUGUUUGCACAAGGCUGUUGCUUUCUGCCAGUCAUUCAGAGACCCUGGGCUCUUUACUACCUGGGCUCUUGAAUCUCUCAGCAAAUUCCAGCAAGCAUAGAGUGACCAUGAACCUAGCUGUUCUAUGAGCUGUGUGUUGAGAGCAUAGGCGCAGGUGAGGGCCAAUGAAAUAGGUUCACAUGGGAGGGAUAUGUGUGUGGUCACUGGAGGAGCAGCAUAUAAUCCCAGAGGUGUGAUAAGUCUCAGGCUGGGGGGAGCUGGGAG
rnacentral:sRNA from 1 species